AGUGUUGUUAAGCCAAUAAAAUUACCCGAUUGAACACAAGUUUACUGUAUAUAAGAACGACAAAACGUUGUGUAUAGUCACUGUAAGGGUAAGUGAAGAAACUUAAGAAGAGAUGAAUAUGUUCUUGCUUGUAGGCACCAUUAUCAUUGUUUUGUUAGAAAACAACGAAGUCGUUGGUCGUAGAUCUAUCAAUCAUAUGCUAAAGUUAACUAGAGAAAAUGGCAAAUUAACAUUAGGAAACAGUCCAAUUGGCAGAAUAAAUCAACGACAAGAUCGUCCUUCAACACCCUCGGGCCCACCAUUCGGGGCUCCACCAAUUGGGCGCCCACCAUUCGGGGUUCCACCAUUCGAGGCUCCACCGGCCGUGGUUCCACCGGCAGUGGUUCCACCAGUUUUACCUCCAGCAGAGCGUUUAAAUGGGAAAAGAGCAGAAGUGAAGAAAUCCCUUUAAAAAUAUUUAUAGCGGAUAAAUAAUAUACAAUUACCUGAAAAAUUUGCACUAAUAAAGGUAUAAAGUUUACACUGCACUAAAUAAGAGUAUAUUCUGCAUUAAUUCUUAUAUUAUUGUAAACAAUUAUAAAUUUUAAUAAGUUUAAAAGUUUGUAAUAUUAUGCUUUGAUGAGAAUAAAAAAGAAAAAACUUAUGAAAAUAUUCCGUAGUAUUUUCGUAUACGUGUGAAUUACCACAUAUUAAAUGGGCACACAUAAUCUAUAUAUGACAUUGAAUAAAGGAGUUUAAACACUGCACUUCCAGAUAGAAGAGCUCACAUUUAAUUAAGGAGCA